rnacentral:rRNA from 1 species
AACGAACGCUGGCGGCAUGCCUAACACAUGCCAGUCGAACGAGACCUUCGGGUCUAGUGGCGCACGGGUGCGUAACGCGUGGGAACCUGCCCUUAGGUUCGGAAUAACUCCCCGAAAGGGGUGCUAAUACCGGGUAAUGUCUUCGGACCAAAGAUUUAUCGCCUUUGGAUGGGCCCGCGUUGGAUUAGCUAGUUGGUAGGGUAAAAGCCUACCAAGGCGACGAUCCAUAGCUGGUCUGAGAGGAUGAUCAGCCACACUGGGACUGAGACACGGCCCAGACUCCUACGGGAGGCAGCAGUGGGGAAUAUUGGACAAUGGGCGAAAGCCUGAUCCAGCAAUGCCGCGUGAGUGAUGAAGGCCUUAGGGUUGUAAAGCUCUUUUACCCGGGAUGAUAAUGACAGUACCGGGAGAAUAAGCUCCGGCUAACUCCGUG